rnacentral:rRNA from 1 species
CCUACGGGUGACUGCAGUGAGGAAUAUUGGUCAAUGGGCGCGAGCCUGAACCAGCCAAGUAGCGUGAAGGAUGACUGCCCUACGGGUUGUAAACUUCUUUUAUAAAGGAAUAAAGUGAGGCACGUGUGCCUUUUUGUAUGUACUUUAUGAAUAAGGAUCGGCUAACUCCGUGCCAGCAGCCGCGGUAAUACGGAGGAUCCGAGCGUUAUCCGGAUUUAUUGGGUUUAAAGGGAGCGUAGAUGGGUUGUUAAGUCAGUUGUGAAAGUUUGCGGCUCAACCGUAAAAUUGCAAGUGAUACUGGGAGGACUGAGUAUAGUUGAAGGAGGGCGAAUUGGGGGGGUAGCGGGGAAAUGCUUAGAUAUGA